rnacentral:misc_RNA from 1 species
GAUGAAGAACGUAGCGAAAUGCGAUAAGUAAUGUGAAUUGCAGAAUUCAGUGAAUCAUCGAAUCUUUGAACGCACAUUGCGCCCGCCAGUAUUCUGGCGGGCAUGCCUGUUCGAGCGUCAUUUCAACCAUCAAGCCCCCGGCUUGUGUUGGGGACCUGCGGCUGCCGCAGGCCCUGAAAAGCAGUGGCGGGCUCGCUGUCACACCGAGCGUAGUAGCAUACAUCUCGCUCUGGGCGUGCUGCGGGUUCCGGCCGUUAAACCACCUUCAUAACCCAAGGUUGACCUCAAAUCAGGUAGGACUACCCGCUGAACUUAAGCAUAUCAAUAAGCGGAGGA